GGCUGGUCUGAUGGUAGUAGGGUAUCAGAACUUAUUAACAUUAGUGUCACUAAAGUCGGUACACAACCCCCCACUGCUAAAUUUGACUGGCUAAAA
rnacentral:Y_RNA from 1 species